UGUGAUGUAGGAUGUGGUCAAUGGCUGACUC
rnacentral:piRNA from 1 species